rnacentral:rRNA from 1 species
AAUGAACGUUGGCGGCGUGGAUUAGGCAUGCAAGUCGCGCGACAAGGAACCUUCGGGUUCUGGAGGAGCGGCAAACGGGGUAGUAAGGCAUCGGAACGUACCCUCUUGUUGGGAAUAGCCGCGGGAAACUGCGAGUAAUGCCCAAUAAUCCCUACGGGGCAAAGGUCCGCCGCAGGAGGAGCGGCCGAUGUGAUACCAGCUAGUUGGUGAGGUAAUGGCUCACCAAGGCUUAGACGUCUAGGGGGUGUGAGAGCAUGGCCCCCACCACUGGGACGUGAGAUACUGCCCACGACACCUACGGGUGGGCUGCAGUCGAGAAUCUUCGGCGAAUAGGGCGGCAAGACCUCGACCGACGCAACGACCGCCGU